rnacentral:rRNA from 1 species
GGGAUAUUGCGCAAUGGGGGCAACCCUGACCCAGCAACGCCGCGUGAGUGAUGAAGGCCUUCGGGUUGUAAAGCUCUGUUAUAGGGGACGAAGGAAGUGACGGUACCCUAUAAGGAAGCCCCGGCUAACUACGUGCCAGCAGCCGCGGUAAUACGUAGGGGGCGAGCGUUGUCCGGAAUGACUGGGCGUAAAGGGCGUGUAGGCGGUUUUUUAAGUCUGGAGUGAAAGUCCUGCAUUCAAUGUGGGAAUUGCUUUGGAUACUGGAAGACUUGAGUGCGGAAGAGGUAAGUGGAAUUCCCAGUGUAGCGGUGAAAUGCGUAGAGAUUGGGAGGAACACCAGUGGCGAAGGCGACUUACUGGGCCGUAACUGACGCUGAGGCGCGAAAGCGUGGGGAGCGAACA